GACGAACGCUGGCGGCGUGCNUAAUACAUGCAAGUCGAGCGCAGGAAAUCGACGGAACCCUUCGGGGGGAAGUCGAUGGAAUGAGCGGCGGACGGGUGAGUAACACGUAAAGAACCUGCCCUCAGGUNUGGGAUAACCACGAGAAAUCGGGGNUAAUACCGGAUGGGUCAUCGGACCGCAUGGUCCGAGGAUGAAAGGCGCUUCGGCGUCGCCUGGGGAUGGCUUUGCGGUGCAUUAGCUAGUUGGUGGGGUAAUGGCCCACCAAGGCGACGAUGCAUAGCCGACCUGAGAGGGUGAUCGGCCACACUGGGACUGAGACACGGCCCAGACUCCUACGGGAGGCAGCAGUAGGGAAUCUUCCACAAUGGACGAAAGUCUGAUGGAGCAACGCCGCGUGAACGAUGAAGGCCUUCGGGUCGUAAAGUUCUGUUGUAAGGGAAGAACAAGUGCCGCAGGCAAUGGCGGCACCUUGACGGUACCUUGCGAGAAAGCCACGGCUAACUAC
rnacentral:rRNA from 1 species